rnacentral:rRNA from 1 species
AGAGUUUGAUCCUGGCUCAGGACGAACGCUGGCGGUGCGCCUUAUGCAUGCAAGUCGAGCGAAGCUUUUCAGUAGUUUACUACAGAAAAUGACUGAGCGGCGAACGGGUGAGUAACGCGUGAGCAACCUACCUUAGUUACUGGGAUAGCCCGAGGAAACUCGGAUUAAUACCGGAUAUUCUUAUUUAAUCACAUGAUUUUUUAAGGAAAGGUCAGCCGAACUAAGAUGGGCUCGCGUUCUAUCAGCUAGUUGGUAGGGUAAUGGCCUACCAAGGCUACGACGGAUAGCUGGUCUGAGAGGACGAUCAGCCACACUGGGACUGAGACACGGCCCAGACUCCUACGGGAGGCUGCAGCAGGGAAUAUUGCGCAAUGAGCGAAAGCUUGACGCAGCGACACCGCGUGUGGGAUGACGGAUCUAGGUUUGUAAACCACUUUCAGGAGGGAAGAAAAUGACGGUACCUCCACAAGAAGCCCCGGCCAACUACGUGCCAGCAGCCGCGGUAAUACGUAGGGGGCGAGCGUUGUCCGGAUUUAUUGGGCGUAAAGAGCUCGUAGGCGGUUCAACAAGUCGGUCGUGAAAGUUCAGGGCUCAACCCUG